GUUAACCUUUCUUCAAAUGAGGAAAUGUUAAAAGCAGUUUUAAAACUUUCAACUGAUUACAUUAAUGCGAUUAGAAAUAAAGAACUUAUAGAAAAUCCGAUUAUUACCUUCUGUACAAAUCAAAUGAAAGAUGUGAAUUACGUGUCGUUAUUGUUAACAUCGACAUUUGGAUAAAUUUAAUUUUAACUCAUUUGUAAAAUUAUAACAAUUUAUGACCAUUUUAAUUUAAAUUGCUUUGUAAAAUAAUAUGUAAACUUCAGUAUAAUUAUCAAAAAAAACUAUUUGUAUAUUAUAUACUCUGUCUCAAAGUAGAAUACACCGGUUUCGCGCAUCGCGACUGACGGUCGCGGAAGCUCGUUGGCUCGUUGUCCGAUUUUCUCCCACUAUGUGGCGAAAUUGACAGCAGAUGCGCGGCACCAAACGAAAACCGGUCAGCCGCCUGGUGUAUUCUACUUUGAGACGGGAUAUAGUGUUUUUCAUUUAUAUGUACUAACAUAUUAUAAAGUAUCAUUUUAUUUCUUGGUUUACACAA